UUGUAGUCUGUAAUUUUUUCCAUGUCGUUCCAAAAUGUUUCUGCAUUGGGAUCUUUUGAUACGGGUUUCUUCUUCUUUGUAGGUGGCUCCGCAAU